CACGGUGUCCCACUCCGGGUUUCCUGUCCCGAAGGUCCCGUCCCUUUCAGGAGCUCAGAGACUCGACAGGAUGGACGAGAGCGAGACCUACGCGAACAUGCGGCUCACAGGAACGGACCCACAAGCUCCUUCGGGAGCUGAACCGGAUGUAUCGUACGUGCAGCUGAAUAUCACGGCUACCUCGGCGCCCCGGGUCCGGAGAGAUGAAGUUGGUCUGAGCACCACCUACGCAGAGGUGAAAUUUCUGAACGAUGAGCCCG